ACUGCUCCUGGAGGCAUUGCAGGUGUGGCUGCUGUGUCACAUGUGUGUCAGUGGGUGGCAGAGAGGAGAGAGGCUGUCUACACUCAGUGUUCUGACCUGUGAACAUCCGAAUGAUUAGUAGCCUAACAUU
ensembl:snoRNA